AGCGACUGGGAGUGGGGACGCCUCG
rnacentral:piRNA from 1 species